CCUGGCUCAGGAUGAACGCUAGCGGCAGGCCUAAUACAUGCAAGUCGGACGGGAUCCGUCGGAGAGCUUGCUCGAAGACGGUGAGAGUGGCGCACGGGUGCGUAACGCGUGAGCAACCUACCUCUAUCAGGGGGAUAGCCUCUCGAAAGAGAGAUUAACACCGCAUAACAUAUCUGACCGGCAUCGGUUAGCUAUUAAAUAUUUAUAGGAUAGAGAUGGGCUCGCGUGACAUUAGCUAGUUGGUAGGGUAACGGCUUACCAAGGCGACGAUGUCUAGGGGCUCUGAGAGGAGAACCCCCCGCCCUGUUACUGAAACACGCACCGGCCUCCUCGGG
rnacentral:rRNA from 1 species